GAUGAACGCUGGCGGCGUGCCUAAUACAUGCAAGUCGAGCGAACAGACGAGGAGCUUGCUCCUCUGACGUUAGCGGCGGACGGGUGAGUAACACGUGGAUAACCUACCUAUCAGACUGGGAUAACUUCGGGAAACCGGAGCUAAUACCGGAUAAUAUAUUGAACCGCAUGGUUCAAUAGUGAAAGACGGUUUUGCUGUCACUUAUAGAUGGAUCCGCGCCGCAUUAGCUAGUUGGUAAGGUAACGGCGUACCAAGGCAGGGAUGCGUAGCCGACCUGAGAGAGUGAUAGCCCACACUGGAACUGGGACACGGACAAGAGUCCUACGGGAGGCAGCAGUAGGCAACCGGACGCAAUGGGCGAAAGCCUGACGGAGCAACGCCGAGUGUGUGAUGACGGCCUUCGGAGCGUAAAACCCUGUUAUGAGGGAAGAACAAAUGUGUAAGUAAAUAUGGACGUAUUGACGGUACCUGAUCAGAAAGCCACGGCUAACUACGUG
rnacentral:rRNA from 1 species